UGCCCUGUACAGGGGGAUAACAGUUGGAAACGGCUGCUAAUACCGCAUAAGCGCACGAGAGGACAUCCUCUAGUGUGAAAAACUCCGGUGGUACAGGAUGGGCCCGCGUCUGAUUAGCUGGUUGGCAGGGUAACGGCCUACCAAGGCGACGAUCAGUAGCCGGUCUGAGAGGAUGAACGGCCACAUUGGAACUGAGACACGGUCCAAACUCCUACGGGAGGCAGCAGUGGGGAAUAUUGCACAAUGGGGGGAACCCUGAUGCAGCAACGCCGCGUGAGUGAAGAAGUAUUUCGGUAUGUAAAGCUCUAUCAGCAGGGAAGAUAAUGACGGUACCUGACUAAGAAGCUCCGGCUAAAUACGUGCCAGCAGCCGCGGUAAUACGUAUGGAGCAAGCGUUAUCCGGAUUUACUGGGUGUAAAGGGUGCGUAGGUGGCAGUGCAAGUCAGAUGUGAAAGGCCGGGGCUCAACCCCGGAGCUGCAUUUGAAACUGCAUAGCUGGAGUACAGGAGAGGCAGGCGGAAUUCCUAGUGUAGCGGUGAAAUGCGUAGAUAUUAGGAGGAACACCAGUGGCGAAGGCGGCCUGCUGGACUGUUACUGACACUGAGGCACGAAAGCGUGGGGAGCAAACAGGAUUAGAUACCCUGGUAGUCCACGCCGUAAACGAUGCAUAAUAGGUGUCGGGGCCGUAUAGGCUUCGGUGCCGUCG
rnacentral:rRNA from 1 species